AACGCGAAGAACCUUACCAGAGCUUGACAUCCUUCUGACCGGUCCUUAAUCGGACCUUUCUUCGGACAGAAGAGACGGGUGGUGCAUGGUUGUCGUCAGCUCGUGUCGUGAGAUGUUGGGUUAAGUCCCGCAACGAGCGCAACCCUUGUCAUUAGUUGCCAUCAUUCAGUUGGGCACUCUAGUGAGACUGCCGGGGAUAACUCGGAGGAAGGUGGGGAUGACGUCAAAUCAUCAUGCCCCUUAUGUUCUGGGCUACACACGUGCUACAAUGGUCGGUACAACGAGAAGCAAGACCGUGAGGUGGAGCAAAUCUUAAAAACCGAUCCCAGUUCGGAUUGCAGGCUGCAACUCGCCUGCAUGAAGUCGGAGUUGCUAGUAAUCGCAGAUCAGAAUGCUGCGGUGAAUGCGUUCCCGGGUCUUGUACACACCG
rnacentral:rRNA from 1 species